rnacentral:rRNA from 1 species
AUUGAACGCUGGCGGCAGGCCUAACACAUGCAAGUCGAGCGGAUGAAGGGAGCUUGCUCCUGGAUUCAGCGGCGGACGGGUGAGUAAUGCCUAGGAAUCUGCCUGGUAGUGGGGGAUAACGUCCGGAAACGGGCGCUAAUACCGCAUACGUCCUGAGGGAGAAAGUGAGGGAUCUUCGGACCUCACGCUAUCAGAUGAGCCUAGGUCGGAUUAGCUAGUUGGUGGGGUAAAGGCCUACCAAGGCGACGAUCCGUAACUGGUCUGAGAGGAUGAUCAGUCACACUGGAACUGAGACACGGUCCAGACUCCUACGGGAGGCAGCAGUGGGGAAUAUUGGACAAUGGGCGAAAACCUGAUCCAGCCAUGCCGCGUGUGUGAAGAAGGUCUUCGGAUUGUAAAGCACUUUAAGUUGGGAGGAAGGGCAGUAAGUUAAUACCUUGCUGUUUUGACGUUACCAACAGAAUAAGCACCGGCUAACUUCGUG